rnacentral:lncRNA from 1 species
GUGAGAGGUAGUCUGUAAACAGUCAAAAGGAAAGAAAGAAUGCAUAGGUCAUUGCCAGUACCUCCGGCUAUCCAGGCUUCUUCUGCACCUGUAUUCGUUGAAGUUUGCAGACAUUCUGAGCAUUUUCAGGGCUAUCAUUAGGAUACAGUAUUGAAGUGCAACAUUUAUGGUUUUUUUUCAACCGUAGAUUGCUAUGAGCUAUUAAUCCCAGUUACUCUGUGCUGAUGUUUGCAGUGGUUUAUUUGAAUAAGUGAGUCCAAGUUCCUGUAGCAUGUGCAUCACAGGUUCCUUGUCAUUUUGAUAUACCCUAGAAGUGAUUUUUGGAUGCUUACUCACUGGAGACAUUUCUAAAAUGUGUUAUAUUCUUCUUUUGCAAGCAGCUUUCCUUCAGGGAAAUCAACUUCCCUGCCUGUUUGUGCUUAGCUGCAUUUCCUGCCCGGGGGAUGCCGGUGCUCCGGAAGGAGAUGGUCCGUGAGUUGUUCUUCAGGCAGAAGGAAUGCUCACCAGUUGGGGUGGUAACCCGACACUGGACAGAUGUGCUCAAGAAUAGAUUCACACGCAGAAACUUGAAAUGCUCAUGAAAACAGCUAUCGCUUAAGUGCUUUGAAGAAGAGAUCUCCAGUGAAAAGAUGUUAUAAGGAAUUUUACAGGUAUAUCCCUCUGAGAAUUGACUUCAGUGCCCUUCUGAAAACUUCGCAUUUGGGUGCCAUUGUGCAUAUAUAUGCAUACUAAAGCUGCCUUUUUUUUUUUUUUCUUCUCCACUUCUUGAGCCACUAAGGUAAGAAGUGGACAGCUAGCAGCGGGCUUAGAGGAUAUAAUGUGAUUUAUACCUUCACAGUUAAAAUAAUAGAUAAGCUUUACAGUUUUUCAGCAUGGUGCAUGCUGGAUGGCAAAAUACCAAUGUUACUGUCACAGCUUAAAUGUAUUUUACAGCUCUGAUAGGUGGUAAAGUGUGGGUUUUAAUUUCUGCAGCGAGCAAAUGAUGUAUGGUAACCAGUCAGAUGCGCCUGGCUAGUUUAUAGCCCUUGCAUACAUAGCUGGCAUAAAGGUAGCUGUGCAAUGUCCUGGGACUGCUUUAGCCCUUGUCUUACUUAGUUUUAGGUUAAACUGUCUUUAAAAGCCUCCAGGGAGCUGUCAUAGC